UUGAUCCUGGCUCAGGAUGAACGCUAGCUACAGGCUUAACACAUGCAAGUCGAGGGGAAACGACAUCGAAAGCUUGCUUUUGAUGGGCGUCGACCGGCGCACGGGUGAGUAACGCGUAUCCAACCUGCCCACCACUUGGGGAUAACCUUGCGAAAGUAAGACUAAUACCCAAUGAUAUCUCUAGAAGACAUCUGAAAGGGAUUAAAGAUUUAUCGGUGAUGGAUGGGGAUGCGUCUGAUUAGCUUGUUGGCGGGGUAACGGCCCACCAAGGCUACGAUCAGUAGGGGUUCUGAGAGGAAGGUCCCCCACAUUGGAACUGAGACACGGUCCAAACUCCUACGGGAGGCAGCAGUGAGGAAUAUUGGUCAAUGGACGAGAGUCUGAACCAGCCAAGUAGCGUGCAGGAUGACGGCCCUAUGGGUUGUAAACUGCUUUUAUAAGGGAAUAAAGUGAGUCUCGUGAGACUUUUUGCAUGUACCUUAUGAAUAAGGACCGGCUAAUUCCGUGCCAGCAGCCGCGGUAAUACGGAAGGUCCGGGCGUUAUCCGGAUUUAUUGGGUUUAAAGGGAGCGUAGGCCGGAGAUUAAGCGUGUUGUGAAAUGUAGACGCUCAACGUCUGCACUGCAGCGCGAACUGGUUUCCUUGAGUACGCACAAAGUGGGCGGAAUUCGUGGUGUAGCGGUGAAAUGCUUAGAUAUCACGAAGAACUCCGAUUGCGAAGGCAGCUCACUGGAGCGCAACUGACGCUGAAGCUCGAAAGUGCGGGUAUCGAACAGGAUUAGAUACCCUGGUAGUCCGCACGGUAAACGAUGGAUGCCCGCUGUUGGUCUGAAUGGGUCAGCGGCC
rnacentral:rRNA from 1 species